UUUAGUUAUCUCGUCUCUGUAUAAGCCAAACCAUUUUCAACAAGAUUUAACAAAAUACUAGUCACCCAGUAUUGAGAAAACUGUUCAAUUCAUUUGAUAACCAACAACAUACAUUAAUAUCACAAACGACAAUGAGAAAGCCUCGAUAAGCUUAACUGCAAAAAAAAAAAAAACAGAUUUGCCCCUGAUAAAAAGUAAAUCAAGCCCAGAUUAUUUGAGAAUGUUUUAACAAAAAGUAUGGUUUUAUUUCGUGACCAUCAAGCGGGUCUUGCCAAAGUACUGAAAACGACAACAAUUAACCCUCCAACGCAGAUGCUCCAGAAAUAAUCUCAAUGAGUUCAGUUGUGAUGGAUGCUUGACGGGUCCUGGACCUGUUGUAUGUAAGAGUGAGACGAUCAAGCAUGUCACCAGCAUUUCUGCUGGAGCUGUCCAUAGCAGACAUCCGAGCUCCUUGUUCACUGCAUGCAUUC
rnacentral:lncRNA from 1 species